GGGUGGGGAUCUGGGGGUGGCCGUCUCCCUCCCUCCGCAGUGCCCUGAAGGAGGAAACGUUUCCUCCAGGUGAAGAUGUGGCUGCCUGGCUGGCCCCUCUGCCUGCUCUUGGGGGCAGCUGACCUGCGGAUCUGGGCGAAGAGCAAAACACAAGUCCUCUGCAAGAGGUUGGACGUGUUACAAACAUUCACAAAAAUCCAGUUUCCAAAACUGUAAGACAUAAAUCCAGUCACAAAAUAGGGCUGCAGGGCCGGCAGAGGCACUAGACCUUCCCGCUCGACCUCCUUAAAGUCUGCCACACCGGCCAACGGGAAGGACGCCAUAUGCCAUACUAGAUGGAAGACUUGGCUUUCAAUUCUAUGAAGGAGAUCGAGCAGAGGAGGGUAGACCACUGCCAGGUUGUGCACUGGGGUUAUCAGGCUCCUCCUGGCACUCCCUAUGCCAUUUCUACCUGGGGGUCUCAGAGCCCAUCCAGGGUCUUCCCUGGUUUACUCAGGUGGUAUUCGUGGAUGAUCAACUCAUCACUUGCUAUGACAGCAACACAAGGAGGGACCAGCCUCAAGUCCCCUGGGUGGAGAAGGCGGAGGAUUCCCGGUUCUGGGAGUGGGAGACCUAUUAUGCUCAGGAUGCUGAGUUCUUCUUCAGAACAAGUUCACUAUUUCCCAAAGUUGUAGGCAAAGAUAAAUGCAGAAAUGCGUAGUAAUGAUCGUCCAUUCUGUUAUCCGAAGCUUGUAGAGAUAGUAAUUCUUACGUUUGUAAGUCCUUGACAUAAAGAGAUGUGUAGUAAUAAUAAUCCAUUCUGUUAUCUGGAGCUUGUAAUAAUAAUUCUUCUUUCACUAGUAAGUCCUUAAAAACGGUCCGGAUAUUCAGUGUUUUUUGCCGAGGCUUCCUCACGAAGGACUACAGAAUAAACGUGUUAUCAUCAAUACUAUAAUAAACAAUCACAGU